rnacentral:rRNA from 1 species
AUAUCAGUCAUGCAUAGCAUAUCAAUAAGCGGAGGAAAAGAAACUAACAAGGAUUCUCCUUAGUAACGGCGAGUGAAGCGGGAAGAGCUCAAAUUUGAAAUCUUCAAGGUUCUACCUUGACGAAUUGUAGUUUAUAGAAGUGUUUUCUGUUAGUAGGAGUGGCAAAAGUUCUUUGGAAUAGGACAUCAUAGAGGGUGAGAAUCCCGUAUUUGGUCAUUCCUUCCUAGCUUUGUGAUACACUUUCAACGAGUCGGAUUGUUUGGGAAUGCAGUCCAAAAUGGGUGGUAAAUUUCAUCUAAAGCUAAAUAUUGGCGAGAGACCGAUAGCGAACAAGUACCGUGAGGGAAAGAUGAAAAGAACUUUGAAAAGAGAGUUAAACAGUACGUGAAACUUGUCAAAAGGGAAGCGUUUGACACCAGUGUUGUUUAGUUGAAAAUCAAUUCAAUAAUUUUUGAUUUUGAGUAGUAUUGACUUCAUCAGCUUAGCUGCUUUCUUUUCGGAAAUUAUUGAAUGCACUUUUCAGUUAACAAGUCAACAUCAAUUUCUUUUGUUGUAAAAGGGUAGAGGAAGGUGGCUUACGCUUCGGCGUAAGUGUUUAUAGCCUUUUACCUCUGCAAUCGGAGAGAUUGAGGACAGCAGCGUAGACUCUUCGGGGUUAGAUACGCUUGUGCUAAGCUAUAGCCUUGUAUAGACAACUUGUUGACUAUACUCAGUCAUGUAGCUUACUCGCUUGUGCUAUUUUACCUACGCUUAGGAUGUUGAUGUGAUACUGCGAGC